rnacentral:rRNA from 1 species
AACGAACGCUGGCGGCAUGCCUAACACAUGCAAGUCGAACGAUAUCUUCGGGUCUAGUGGCGCACGGGUGCGUAACGCGUGGGAAUCUGCCCUUUGGUUCGGAAUAACAGUUGGAAACGACUGCUAAUACCGGAUGAUGACGAAAGUCCAAAGAUUUAUCGCCAGAGGAUGAGCCCGCGUAGGAUUAGCUAGUUGGUGUGGUAAAGGCGCACCAAGGCGACGAUCCUUAGCUGGUCUGAGAGGAUGAUCAGCCACACUGGGACUGAGACGCGGCCCAGACUCCUACGGGAGGCAGCAGUGGGGAAUAUUGGACAAUGGGCGAAAGCCUGAUCCAGCAAUGCCGCGUGAGUGAUGAAGGCCUUAGGGUUGUAAAGCUCUUUUACCCGGGAUGAUAAUGACAGUACCGGGAGAAUAAGCUCCGGCUAACUCCGUGCCAGCAGCCGCCGUAA